rnacentral:lncRNA from 1 species
GGGGAACUGUUAAUCAUGGUAAAUUACUUUUAACUAUAGGGACGAGUUGUCAGGGAUUCAUAUGUCCUGCGUGUUUUUAUGUCUUUACAUAUAGGUAUCUAACAGUUUAUUAGGGACGAGUUGUCAGGGAUUCAUAUGUCCUGCGUGUUUUAUGUCUUUACAUAUAGGUAUCUAACAGUUUAUUAGGGACGAGUUGUCAGGGAUUCAUAUGUCCUGCGUGUUUUUAUGUCUUUACAUAUAGGUAUCUAACAGUUUAUUAGGGACGAGUUGUCAGGGAUUCAUAUGUCCUGCGUGUUUUAUGUCUUUACAUAUAGGUAUUAAACUGUUUAUUAGGGACGAGUUGUCAGGGAUUCAUAUGUCCUGCGUGUUUUAUGUCUUUACAUAUAGGUAUCUAACAGUUUA